AUACGUAGGUGGCAAGCGUUGUCCGGAAUUACUGGGUGUAAAGGGUGCGUAGGCGGGGAUGCAAGUCAGAUGUGGAAUCUAUCGGCUCAACUGGUAAACUGCAUUUGGAACUGCAUUUCUUGAGUGGUGGAGAGGUAAGCGGAAUUCCUAGUGUAGCGGUGAAAUGCGUAGAUAUUAGGAGGAACACCGGUGGCGAAGGCGGCUUACUGGACUGUAACUGACGUUGAGGCUCGAAAGCGUGGGGAGCAAACAGGAUUAGAUACCCUGGUAGUCCACGCUGUAAACGAUGAUUACUAGGUGUGGGGGGACUGACCCCUUCCGUGCCGCAGUUAACACAAUAAGUAAUCCACCUGGGGAGUACGGCCGCAAGGUUGAAACUCAAAUGAAUUGGCGGGG
rnacentral:rRNA from 1 species